UGAGGAAUCUUGCGCAAUGGGGGAAACCCUGACGCAGCAACGCCGCGUGAGUGAGGAAGGUUUUCGAAUCGUAAAGCUCUGUCAGGUGGAAAGAAAUGUAUGGAAGUUAAUAGCCUUCAUACUUGACGGUACCACCAGAGGAAGCACCGGCUAACUCCGUGCCAGCAGCCGCGGUAAUACGGGGGGUGCAAGCGUUGUUCGGAAUCAUUGGGCGUAAAGAGCGUGUAGGCGGCUUGAUAAGUCAGAUGUGAAAGCCCUGGGCUUAACCCAGGAAGUGCAUUUGAUACUGUCUAGCGAGAGUAAGGGUGAGGAAAGCGGAAUUCCUGGUGUAGAGGUGAAAUUCGUAGAUAUCAGGAGGAACACCGGUGGCGAAGGCGGCUUUCUGGCCCUAUACUGACGCUGAGACGCGAGAGCGUGGGUAGCAAACA
rnacentral:rRNA from 1 species